AAGAGUUGCAAAACUCCCACAAGCCAUCGCGAACGUUACCCAGACGUCGUUGCUUCGGCGGGCUCGCCCGCCGGGGGGACGCUACCAGACUCUUGCAGUUCUUCGGCCUCUCUGAGUAUGAUUUUUUAAAUAAGUCA
rnacentral:misc_RNA from 1 species